GCAACACGCGUCAACAGAAACGGAUUGGAAAAAUCAAUGACAUUAGUCCAUUAAUAGUGAAUCACGUAUUUGGAAAACAAUUUGAAGUACCCACCUUGCCUGCAGUCACUUUUCUGUGUCAUUGAGUCAAAAAAUGUGGUGCUAGAAAAACACAGCAGGCCAGGCAGCAUCCGAGGAGCAGGCGAAUCGACAUUUUGGGCCUAAGCCCUUCUUCAGGAAUCAUUGAGUCAUUGAGUCAGUCAGGUUACUGAAGUCUGAAAAAUCACACCAUUGAACAUAAAUAUUGGAGGCACUCAGAGGUUCUAUGCAUGCCUCUCAGCACAGCAUGGUGUUCCUACCAUUGAAUUCUCAGUUCAGAAGUCGCUGCUGUACAUGGAACUUAGAGGUGAGAAAAGAGACCCUAGAGGUUCAUGCAGAAGAAAAUAACAU